rnacentral:rRNA from 1 species
CAGCCGCCACGGUAAUGCGUAGGGUGCAAGCGUUAAUCGGAAUUGCUGGGCGUAAAGCGUGCGCAGGCGGUUCGCUAAGACAGAUGUGAAAUCCCCGGGCUUAACCUGGGAACUGCAUUUGUGACUGGCGGGCUAGAGUAUGGCAGAGGGGGGUAGAAUUCCACGUGUAGCAGUGAAAUGCGUAGAGAUGUGGAGGAAUACCGAUGGCGAAGGCAGCCCCCUGGGCCAAUACUGACGCUCAUGCACGAAAGCGUGGGGAGCAAACAGGAUUAGAUACCCCAGUAGUCCCUGUCUCUUAUAC